rnacentral:rRNA from 1 species
UACAGAGGGGGCAAGCGUUAUUCGGAAUUAUUGGGCGUAAAGGGCGCGUAGGCGGCUUGGCAAGUGGAUGGUGAAAUCCCUCGGCUUAACCGAGGAACUGCCGUCCAAACUGCUUCGCUUGAGACCGGGAGAGGCGAGUGGAAUUCCCAGUGUAGCGGUGAAAUGCGUAGAUAUUGGGAGGAACACCAGUGGCGAAGGCGGCUCACUGGACCGGUACUGACGCUGAUGCGCGACAGCGUGGGGAGCAAACAGG